GAUGAACGCUGUCGGCGUGCUUAACACAUGCAAGUCGAACGGAAAGGCCCUGCCUUUGUGGUUUGCUCGAGUGGCGAACGGGUGAGUAACACGUGAGUAACCUGCCCUUGACUUUGGGAUAACUUCAGCAAACUCGGGCUAAUACCGUAUAUGAGCCCCUGCUGCAUGGUGGGGGUUGGAAAUUUCCCGCGGCUGGGGAUGGUCUCGCGGCUUAUCAGCUUCUUCGUGGGGCAGUGGCUUACCAAGGCGUUGACGGGUAGCCCGCCUGAGCGGGUGACCGGCCACAUGACGACUGAGGUACGGCACAGACUGCAACGGGGGGCAGCGGUGGCAGAUACUGCACAAGGCGCGGAAGCCCAGUGCAACGGCGCCGCGUGCGGAACGGCGGCCUUCGGGUUGUCAACCGCUUUCGCCUGUGACGAAGCGUGAGUGACGGUACUGGGUAAAGAAGCACCGGCUAACUACGUG
rnacentral:rRNA from 1 species